GUUGACACACCUGUUCUCAUAUGAUCACCAAAGUUAAGCAAUGUCAGGCCUGGUCAGUACAUUGAUCAAUGAUCACUUAGGAAUACCAAGUGAUGUAAGC